rnacentral:rRNA from 1 species
GAUCUUCCGUGCAGAAGCGGGGAUUUUAACAUAAGACGAGAAGACCCUAUGGAGCUUCAGGCUCCAGAACAGACUAUGUUAAAAACCCUCCCACAAAAGACAAAACUUAUUAGACCCUGUUUCAAUGCCUUUUGGUUAAACCCCCAUACGGACCGGGGAGCAUCACUUCGGGGCGACCGCGGGGAAACGAAUUCCAAAACCAAGAGCAACACCUCUUAGGUAACAGUACGUCUGACCAACAAAAUGAAUCCGGGCACAGCCCAAUCAACGGACCGAGUUUCCCUUAGGGGAAUAAAGCCCCAGUCCCCUUCUAGAGCCCAUACGGACAAGGGGGGGUUUACCACGGUCCAAUGUUUGGGAAUCAGGACCUCCUAUUGGUGCAGCCGCUCUAAAGGGUUUUGUUGUUCAAACGGUUAAGGUC